ensembl:snRNA U6 U6 spliceosomal RNA
GUGCUCACUUCAGCAGCCCCUAUACUGAAAUUGGAACAUUACAGAGAGUAGUGUGCCCUUGCACAAGGAUGACACAUACAUUCGUGAAGCACAUACAUUAUUA